UUCUUUGCGGGGCAAACUGGAAGCAGCAUAAAAUUUCGGCAGGACUGCGAAACUCAAAAUUCCCUAGAAUUUGUUAAGACUUACAGCUGACAGUUACGUAACAAAAUGACGGCCGUUAGAGAGCUCCGGCAUUACCCGGAAGUGUAACACUCAAGUAUGGAAACCGAGACUCUUCAAAAUGAGGUAUAUCCGUAUCUGCAUCGUAGCGAGGGUGUGCUCUCAAUGGUCAUGGUGUUUGUGGGCGGAGCUGGAGAAAGACGAAUAAAAAAGAAGAAAGAGAACGAUUUCAACGGUCGCCAUUUUAACGGUCGUCGAAAAAUUGCAAACAAGCUUCUGAUGUAAUAAAGCCGUACACAUGGUAUAUAGGGGUUUGAUUUUGGUUGAAAUUUGAGUACGUAAAUAUAUAGAAGACCAGGAUAAGGAGACAAAGGAAUCGGUUGACAUAUGAUCUUUUAUAUAAAUAUAUAGAUGGGGAGAUUAUUAACAGUUCGUUGGAUUCGCAGGCGAACCGAGAAUUAUGUGAUGUGUUCGGAUUCAAGACGAAACGAAGAAUUCUGCCGUAUCCGUUAUCGAAGCAGAAAUAACUUCGUUGAAAACAAAAAAAAAAUGAAAAAACGAUGAUAAGAUGAAAAACCAUCCAGAGGUUCACAAUAAAAGAGAAAGUUCGCGUUCGAACAUCGAGAUACAAUAAUUUCAAACAGGGCUUUUGUAAUAUGACGAUCAACAGGAAAUACAAAGUAACAGAGUAAACCUGAAAAGAGAACAACUAUUAAUCAUAUUGUGUUCCGCUGACCGAAAUGAUUCAAUAGAUUGCUAUAUUCAAGUUCGUAAAAAUGUUAUUGAAUCUUUUUUUUUUUCAUAAUUGAAAUGUAAAAGGUACAGUGAAAAUGUACGAAUGUGGAAUGUGGACGGAAUUAUAGAAAUAGAUCGAUAAAAUGUGCAAUCAAGGUGUAUUUUAACCGAUGUGUGAAUCAAUAAGUUUCACGGAGACCGAAGUAGGUAAGUAUAUAAUAUAAUUACUAACAAAGUAAUCACAAUCUGUAAAACAACUAAAUUUAUAUAAGACUUGUGAGUGCAGAUUCGGCCGAGAUCGGAUUAACGGUUCACAUCUAUUCCAUCCCUCCUCUACUAAAUUUCCCAGUCUCUCUCUUUUUCCUUCUUUAAUGGAGGCGAAUAUAUACAUAUACAAAUAUUAUUACGUGGCAAUGUGAUGAAUUAAAAUACUCACAUAGUAAAAAAUGUAAUUAAAAAAAGACAAGAAAAAUAAAUUACUAUUUCAAGUAAAUAUAACGAAUCGGUCAAUAUGAUUUCUAGAUCUCACGUAGUCGAGAAAACAAAGGAGAAGUAGACCCGAUUGGUCAUCCAGCUUGAAAGAAUAAAUCAGCAAGAACACUUCGGAAUUUGUUAGUCACAAUUGAUGAUGUGCAAUGUCGGUUGAAAAUCGAUUCUCGGAAUAAUUUCUUUCCUCUACCUACAUAAGCAAUCCGUACAGAAAAUAUCACAGCACAAGGAAUGCCGGUUUACAUAUUAAUAAAAAGAGCGGACGUUUUAAUAAUAAUAAUUCGAAUCUGAAUUCUGGACACGAAGGUUAAUCGUAACGGUAAAAAACUAAAAACAGAAAAAGAAUAAAUUAGAAGUAUAAAAGAAAAAAAAUUUCAAGACGAAGACUUUCGAAGCAAAAGCACUAAAGCGAAUCGAAGUGACGCUCCUGACUCCCGGCGUCGCGGCGUCGGUCUUCAACGUCUAAAAUAUUUCGAACUGAACGUUGAAACCAGCAACAGCAGCAACAGGUAGUUCGAUCGCUAUAUGAACGGUGACGCAACAUUGGCAAACACGUUUACGAACUUAGUGUAUAAUAUGUAUCGUCUACGUAUGUAUAUUAAGUUUUAAAUAUUGAGUUUAAAACAGAUGAACACUUGGCGUCGGUUGUGUGACUCUUGUUUCUCUGUUUUAAGGAUUAAAAUAGUACUUUUAUCAGAUACAUGAAUAUGAAAAUGUGCAAAAAAAACCGAACGGUACGAUGAAAUAAUUUGCACGGCACAAAACUUGGUUCACUGUAAAAUAUCGAAUAAUUCGAGACCUCGGGAUAUGGAUAGUCGAGGAGCGUCGCCGAGGAGAACGAUUAUGGCGGACGCGUCCUUGAAAACUGAAAUUAUUCCCUUUGAAAGAAAUCUGGACGGCUAGGUUGCCUCUCUGGCAUAAGCCAGCAGCAGCAGCCCCGAGAAGUCGCGGUGGGGAUUUUGUUCGAGGCAUAGGCCAGGGCAGGCCAGAAACUAAGCGGAAUCGAGCAGAGAGUGAGAGAGGAAGAGAAGAAAAUAAAAUGAGAAAGAGAGAGAGAGACCCUGACGAGGUAUAUAUCCCCUCUGCCUUUCUUUGUGAUGGAACAAACACGCAGAGAACUCAAGAAACCCAAGAGACCAUAGUAGAAAAUGGUGGGGAUAAUGGCGGCAAUCUACCUGGAGAGUUGGAGAUUUUUGUGGCGGGAAACAACGGCUCCUUACUCACCCUCCCCCUCGACCAGUCGUCUGACUACAGACCCUGCAUCGGGCUCAUCGAAUAUUCGGACUAAAACCACCUGUCUUCGAUCAGUUUCAAGCCAUUUUCAAAAUUUAAGUCAACUAGAAUCAGGUUGUUAGGAUCAAAAUGAACGGAAACACUACCAAUGAGAUGUUCCAUUUUCAAAAGCGAUGUUCUUUCUUUUACUUCAUAUGCGAAUACUAUGAAGCAAAUGACCGUCGAUUACGAUAACUGGAAACUAAGGAGUGAAGAAACAGAGAAAGAUUUAUCAUGUUUGGUGUACAUUGAUAUUCGCGGAAAAGGUCUUCGCAUAUGUAUAUGAAAACCGCGAUCGUUACACAUUGAAUGAAAUAAGCGAUACGGAGCAGAUGGAAGAACAAUAAAUAGAUCAGGAUGAUGAA
rnacentral:lncRNA from 1 species